rnacentral:lncRNA from 1 species
GUGUUUUGCUCAUUCUGGAAAGAUGAAGCUCAGUAAUACACAACUCUGGAAACUAACCAGAGACUGUGGCAAUAUCUUUCUUCUAAACAGUCAGAUAUUCUUGCAUUAAGCUUGGCGAAAACUGCCUUUCAAAAACAGAAGGGGAAGUAAAAUGAAGGAAGCAAACCUUGCUCAUCUUUCCAAAUGAAAUACGAGAAGGAUCUUCACAUAAAAAUGCACAAACAUUUUUUAUUACCAAUAGUGCUACAAUGAACAAUGCAAAUUUUGUUGUCUAAUUUUUUGUCUUUUUUCUUAUUUUUUGUCUUUUUACAUUUUGGAAAACUAAGUGGUAAACUUUUGUCAGUGUACUCGCUUGUCUUUACAGACCCAAGCUUGUCUGCUGGCAAAAAUAAAACAAAAACAAAAAUUCAGACCCUGCUCAAACUAAAGAAAAACAAUUACAAAUUUAGUUGUUGGGCAGCACAUAAUUAGUAAGGCAGGACCUCAAAUGGUGACCCUUCGCAUGAGCCAAUUGCCAGAUCCUCAAGGAAUUAAAACCAGGAUGCCUGAGCCACAUCAGUUCUGCAGUUAUGUUGAGUAUUGUGCUGAGACAGCCAUACCCCAAGAAAAGGGAAGUCUUUAGAAGGCUUGCUGAGCAGGGUUGUAGUUGAAGGUUGAUGGCAGAUGAGGCCUUUCUUCUAAUUUGUCAUAUUCCAGAUGGAACUCCUUAGCUACUUUCCUCCAGUUAAGACAGUCAAAGAAGUAAUAUGUUCCCCUCUCGUAUGUAUUGGUUUUCAUUGUUGGCUCCAUUCCGGGUGCCCUGGUGAUCCAUACUCGUUCUUCUUUGUGGUAUCUCCAAUCCCGGUUAAAUAGCUCUACUGCCGCUAAUAGCUGUAAUACAUCUCCUCCAUUCAUGUAAUAGAGAUAAAACAGGAGAUCUUCUCCAUAUCGGCCGAGUUUUAUUGCAGCCAGCUUAUCCCUAAUGUGAAUGUUAGUUAAGUAUUCAGAUGGAACAUGGAAGUCUAUGUCUUGAGGUCGACAAGGUGACGAUGCCCAAGGUGAUGCAAAUUUGGGAUAAAGAUUUUCAGGAGAGUUGAGAUUGAGACCUAGUGUUGUUAAAUCACUUCCUAAUGCAAGAUGUACCAUUCCUGGAUCUGUCUCUGCUGCCCUGAUGAAUGUUAACAAGCCAAUCAUUCCAAACUGGUCCGUCACCAUCCCUUGAGGAAUGUUGGUAACCCGACCAUCAGGUAACACCUGGAUCCCUUUUUUCUGCUGGUUGUUGUUUUGCGUAGUUGAACUUUUAUCUCCAGGAAACUUGGGCCCAUCUGUGCUGGAUGAUGUUUUGCCUGAUGUAUUCAAAUUAGAUUUAUUAUCAUCAUUACUUGAUGUUGGGUCUUUGUAGCUGGAACCUGGUAAUGCUGGAAAAUCUUCAUUGUGUAUUGAAAAGUCCUGGGACUGCUCACUUGCUGGUUUUGUUACCAUCCCAACAUAGGGAGCCCUUCCAGCUAAAGGGUUUAUUAAUGGAGUUGGAUUGCCACUUCCUUCCCUUCUGUUUCUGUCUGCUAGUGCUGGAAAAUCUGAGAGGUCCAGUCCUGUCACAUUUUCACUUCCAUCUGUUCCAUUAAAAAUGUUACUUGAUAAGGAGUUAUUCAUUCCAAAUGCCUGAUUUCUGUUCAUCCCAAAUCCAGACAUACUGUUCACAGUAAAAGGUUGUCGAGAGGGUUGCUGCUUUGGCAUACAUAUUAUGCUUGGAGAGCUUCUGUUGGGGCUGCCUAACCCUGAACUGCUCAUGCUGUUUGUCCUGCUGGGAAUUCCAAUGCCCUGACCAACCUGGGAGUGGUUCAUCAUAUUCCUAGGAUUCAUAGGCAAUAUCCCCCUGCUCGGAGAUGGAGGCGUGUGAAGUGACAUUGUUGGUACCCCUGUUGUUGGCGUUACGUGGCUCGGUAACUGAGUGCCUUGUGAUAAGCUGCGAUUUAACUGAGGGGUAUUGUUGCUCAUUCCCCUCAUUGGAAGGCCUAGUGCACUUUGUUGCCCGUAUAAACUUGCCCCAAACUGAGACAGCUGACCUGAUGUUGACGGUGAUGCCAGCAUAUCUUUUUCUGACCGAUGUGGGAACAUCGAUGAUUGGCUGUAGUACAUGUUUUCAUCAUGGUAGUCACCAUCAACCCCCUCUACAAACUUCUUCCUUGAAGCACCAAACAUGCUGUUUGUCACCGCAUGAAUUUUCUUGUCCCGCGGAUCCAAGAUGGCUGAGUAUCCAGCACGGAGGAUGCUGGGGGAGCAACCUUUACCCUCUGACCCGGCCGCCGCCGUGACCCCGCCGCCGCCGCCGCUCGGCCCGCUGCGGCGCUGAGGGGCGGGGAGAGCGCCGCGCCGCCCGGCGCUGCGGAGCGACGCGGGGUUGCGGGUACGGGAGGAGGAGAAGGGGGAAGGAGAAGCGCGGCCCGCUCCGCUGCGUUCCCUCCACCUCCCGCGGGAGACGCGGCCCGGCGCCUGGGGCCGGCGGGGCACGUAGGCCGCGGGGCUGCCGCGCCGCUCCGCGGGGCCUGCGGCGGGCGGGAACGCGGGACUGCGCCGCUGCCGGGCUCGGCGCCCAUUUUGUGAGGGCAGAGGCGGCCCCUCGGCCGUGGGCCCUUCACCCCUUCUCUAGGCCGGGGCGUCGGGGGGUCACACAGAUACACCCCCAGAGGAGCGGCCCAGCCUGUUGGCACGGCCUGGUGACAAGCACAGAGGACAUGUCCUGGUUCUCUGGGAGAUGCAGGAUGGCCUAGGAGGGGUCUGGGUCAGGAACCACCGUCCUGAUGGGUGAAAUUGUGUGAAAGUCUGAAUCUCCUGUGUUGGUGAGAUUGUGGUGGACACACAGGAUUCGCUGCCUGUGUUAUGAUUAAAAUGGACGAGUUACCUAGAUGAUAAAGCUGGAAUUUUGAGUUUAUCACUGUGAAAAUACAUGGUGAUAUCACAUAUGGGUCCAGCACAGCAAAUGCAGAUGCACAAAAUGCUCAUAGUGCAAAUAAUCCUUUGGAAGUCAAAGAGGCAGUGAACAGUACCAGAGCUAAGCCUGUAGGCAAGUGUUUACAGAUCAAGGCCAAUGAUAUUUGUCAUUUAUUAAUGGUAAUUCUUCUUUAGUUUUGUUAGGAAAUAAUUAUGAGGUUGUAAAAUGAAAACAAAAACAUUGACAUGUAACACUUUGCCAGGAAUAGUCAUCUUCUUUCAAUAACUUCACACACUUGUUACCAGUCAGGUUUGAUUUGGGAGUUCCAAACACAAAAAUAAGUAUUCAGUUGGUUACAUAACACUAGGGUUUCACAGAAAUGUUGGUACCUGUGGUGAUGUGUCUGCCAAAAGCUGCUGAAGUCCAAAGAGCAGCCUUCUACCUAAGCUGGGAGAACAGCUUCUGAAUGCCACUGCCUAUGAGCCAAGCGUAGGUGUCAUGUCACUUUAAAAGUUGAUGUUAAAUAAGCUUUUCUUUUGUCUUACCAACCCUUUGACAUCCAUUUAUAAGCGUUGCGUUACAUUUCACUUUACACUUCAAUGGUGUCUUUUCAGAAAGCUAUUUUUUGUUAUAUUUCCCAAAAAGAGAAGUCAUAAGCUGUAGGUGUCCCUGCUCAAGGCAGGGGAGUUGGACUAGAUGGCCUUUAAGGGUCUCUUCCAACUCAAAUGAUUCUAUGAUUCUAUAACUUAAGACUUAGGAUACCUGAGAAUUUCUUUCAAGUAAACUAAGCACCUUCUGUUGUCAGUGCAUCCUUGAGGACGCAUUUCUGUGUCCAUUGCAAGACUGGAGUUCACAUGCAAAUCAAUUGGCAUUUAUGCAACAAAAAGCCUCUGAACUUCAACAGAUCCAGAAAAUCUAAAAAAUAAAGAAAUGUUCAUGUUGUAGGCUGGUUAGCCUAAUUAGCAAUCUCGUUGCCUAACUAGCAAUCUCAGGUUGUAUAAAUUAUGACCUGAAUUCUGCUAGUGAAACUUGUUUUGUCCUUGCUUGUUUUCUUACUGUGAAUGCUGUUAGCAUUUUAAUGCUUCAAAAUAAUCUCUAAAGCUGAUAAAGAGAAUGUAUUAGGCUGUACAUGCUGUGUUCCUACAUUUGCUGCUUUUGACUUGAUGUAUUUUUCUAUGGUGGUGAGGCCUGUUUUGCCUCAUUGCACCUGUUUAAUUGAAGAGGUGUUCUGAGCUCAUUUAAUUAAAUGGCUGCUAAUUGUAUGUGGACGCUCCUAAUCCAUUUUGAACCUUGUGUAGUUUGACCUCCUUGUGUGAAUCUUCAUCUACAAUCAGAUAUGCGUUUGUUACUUUUAAUCUCAUUUAAUUAAACAUUUUCCCCCAUUUUUGAUGGUGUUUUGUUCUAUACUUAUUGAUGUAUUUUACAAACUAGGCUGAUGCACAUCAAUUCUUAAUCAAUAUAAGAACAUCUGUAGGAGUUGGUCUGCAAACUUCUGCAUAUGACAGCACAGGUGAAGGACGUACAUGAUGGCAGCAUCUACAGAAGAGCUGUGUUGUAGCGUGUUGUAUGCUGCAGGCCCAUGCAGUCAGGUGUUCCUGUGAUUCUUUUCAAGUCCAUGAGCAUUAUCAUCUCCAUUUGAAUUUCCAGCUAUUGCUUCUGCUGAUAUCCAGAGAGAGCUAAAAGCAUGCAGCGUCUGUCUGGAGUACUAUUGACAUGAACAUUUGGAAAGAGGGCACCAAGACAAAUGUACUUAGAAUCCCCAAGUGCUUUAUCACUGUGGCUCUGCGUGUUCACUGGCAAGCCUCUGCAGUGAGUGUUCCUUAACCCCUGCUCCAGAAAGAUUUUAGCUGCUCUUUGGCCUCAUUCAGCAUCACUGAUGGAGGUGGGCAAUGUAGCCACAGAUGUGGGAAGAAGAGGAAUUGCCAGAGUGCAUGCAGGACACCAUUAGAGUGCUCCAUUUGCUUUGCUGUAAUAAGACCACCAUCCUCAGCCCUGAAUGGAGACAAAACAAGAUGAAUAGGCGGGUUUGUGGGGACAAUUCCAGAUACAACCAAAAAGCACAUUGGGGAGGGGAGGGGAGAUUUUCCAUGGCACUGUCCUGAUCUAUCCUUUCACUCCUACAAAGUUUUUCAGGGAUUGCUGUUGGCCAGGGAAGCUCUAGAAGUGGAACUCUUUUACUUUUUAGUGUUUUAGUGUUAAAAUGCAUCAAAAGGUAUCCACACGGAUGGCCUCUCAUCUGCUGGGUUUGUAGUUUCCAGGAGAGAAUACUGGGAGCAGAGGUAUCUUUAUCUCAGUCUUUCCUAUUUUUACUAUCAGGAAACCCUAUCCCAGCCUUCUGCUAUGUUCCCUUCAGUGUCUGAUUCAGAGUUAAUUACACCAGAGCAUCAGGACAAAAAUAAAUAAAUAAAUAAAAAUACCAAGUUCAAAAUUAAAUCUGCCAAUUCUGUCAAAUAAUAUGGAGCCA